GUGCUUGCUUCAGUGCACAUAUACUAAAAUUGGAACGAUACAGAGACCAGCAUGGACCCUUAGAAAGGAUAACAUGAAAAUUCGUGAAGCGUUCCAUGUUUUU